rnacentral:rRNA from 1 species
GGGGUACCGUCACCCCGUAGGCUAUUAACCUCGGAGGCUUCGUCCCCCCUGAAAGCGGUUUACAACCCUAAGGCCGUCUUCCCGCACGCGGCGUUGCUGCGUCAGGCUUUCGCCCAUUGCGCAAGGAUUCCCC